rnacentral:lncRNA from 1 species
UUCGGCCCAAAUAACUCCCAAAUAAUUCCAGACCCAAACUAAUCAAAACCUAGCCCAAAACCCACUAAACAUAUGAGCCCAAUACCCACUAAAUCCAAAACCCAAUAGCAGCCCAAUUCAAACCCUAAAACAAAAAGAACCAAAAACCCUAGCUGCUGCCUCCCUGUCCCAUCCUCCACCGACGCCUGCAAGCACCGCCACUGUGCCACCGCCCCACUUGCGCAUGCAACAUUAAAAGAGGAGAAUAGACAGAUAUUAAAAAAAGGGGCAUGUAAAUGGCUAUUUAAAAGCCAAAUCAAGGACCAUUUUACGUUCGGUUCUUCUUGAAAUGAAAAACAUUAUUAGAUCUUAAAGAACACAAAACAAGUAACAGAGAUUUCAUCAACAUCAAAAGCAGAAAAAACGAAGCCUAAGGAAGAAAUCAAAACCAGAGAUCGAAAGGUGUUUAAAUUUUCUAAGUUUCGAAUCGGUUCUUUUUUCUUUUUUCUUUUUUUUACUUUUCUUUUCCUGAUUACAUGGUUGUGCAUAUAUAUAUUAUUAAAAUAAAGAGGAAAAUAAAAAAAUGAAAUAAAAAAUACACCUUUUUCGAAAGCGGUGGCCGGCGAUGGCGCCCGCGGCGGAGGACGGUGGCUGUUCGCCGGAGCCCA